GAUGAACGCUGGCGGCGUGCCUAAUACAUGCAAGUCGAGCGAACAGACGAGGAGCUUGCUCCUUCGACGUUAGCGGCGGACGGGUGAGUAACACGUAGGUAACCUACCUAUAAGACUGGGAUAACUUCGGGAAACCGGAGCUAAUACCGGAUAAUAUUUCGAACCGCAUGGUUCGAUAGUGAAAGAUGGCUUUGCUAUCACUUAUAGAUGGACCUGCGCCGUAUUAGCUAGUUGGUAAGGUAACGGCUUACCAAGGCAACGAUACGUAGCCGACCUGAGAGGGGGGCGGGCCCCCCUGGACCUGAGCGCCGGUCCAGGCCCCGAGGGGAGGCAGAGGUGGGGAAUCUCCCGAAAUGGGGGAAAGCCUGACGGAGCAACGCCGGGUGGGUGAUGAAGUUCUUCGGUCCGUAAAACUCUUUUAUUGGGGAAAAACAAACGUGUAAGUAACUGUGCCCGUUUUGCCGGAACCUAAUCAGAAGCCCCGGGCUAACUACGU
rnacentral:rRNA from 1 species